UGAGUUGUGACUCAGUGGUAGAGUUCUUGCCUAGCACGUGUGGGGCACUGGGUUCGAUCCUCAGCACCACAU
rnacentral:tRNA from 1 species